UAGGGAAUCUUCGGCAAUGGACGAAAGUCUGACCGAGCAACGCCGCGUGAGUGAAGAAGGUUUUCGGAUCGUAAAACUCUGUUCGGUAGAAGAAGAACGUUGGUGAGAGUGGAAAGCUCAUCAAGUGACGGUAACUACCCAGAAAGGGACGGCUAACUACGUGCCAAGCAGGCCGCGGUAAUACGUAGGUCCCGAGCGUUGUCCGGAUUUAUUGGGCGUAAAGCGAGCGCAGGUGGUUUAUUAAGUCUGGUGUAAAAGGCAGUGGCUCAACCAUUGUAUGCAUUGGAAACUGGUAGACUUGAGUGCAGGAGAGGAGAGUGGAAUUCCAUGUGUAGCGGUGAAAUGCGUAGAUAUAUUGGAGGAACACCGGUGGCGAAAGCGGCUCUCUGGCCUGUAACUGACACUGAGGCUCGAAAGCGUGGGGG
rnacentral:rRNA from 1 species